GCUGGGUGCAUGGCAAGUGCCUGUAGUCCCAGCUACUCAGGAGGCUGAGGCGGGAGGAUCACUUGAGCCCAGGAGUUCUGGGCUAUAGUGUGCUAUGCCUAUCGGGUGUUCCCACUAAGUUCGGCAUCAAUAUGAUGACCUCUGGGAGCAGGGGACCACUAGGUUGCCUAAGGAGGGGUAAACCAGCCCAGGUGGGAAACUGGGCAGGUCAAAACUCCAUGCUGAUCAGUAGUGUGAUUGCGUCUGUGAAUAACCACUGCACUCCAGCCUGGGCAACAUAGUGAGACCUUGUCUCUU
ensembl:misc_RNA Metazoa_SRP Metazoan signal recognition particle RNA